GAGUAAAAAGUACUCACUUCCAAAGUUCCUGCAUUGCUACAAAUCCUCAUGCUGUUUAGCAAUGAGCUCAUUUAAAUUAGGAAGUUACUUACACAAACACGCCAACUUCACUUUCUAUGAGUCUGCCGAAUGUGCCCAAAAAGUAGUGAUUUCUGGGCACAGCAAGGAGGAUUGUGAAUUGUGGUUCACUGUUCAACUUUCUAGUAGCGGAAGAACUGGAUGAACU